AUUGAACGCUGGCGGCAUGCCUUACACAUGCAAGUCGAACGGUAACAGGUCUUCGGAUGCUGACGAGUGGCGAACGGGUGAGUAAUGCAUCGGAACGUGCCCAGUCGUGGGGGAUAACGCAGCGAAAGCUGCGCUAAUACCGCAUACGAUCUAUGGAUGAAAGCGGGGGACCGUAAGGCCUCGCGCGAUUGGAGCGGCCGAUGUCAGAUUAGGUAGUUGGUGGGGUAAAGGCUCACCAAGCCAACGAUCUGUAGCUGGUCUGAGAGGACGACCAGCCACACUGGGACUGAGACACGGCCCAGACUCCUACGGGAGGCAGCAGUGGGGAAUUUUGGACAAUGGGCGCAAGCCUGAUCCAGCAAUGCCGCGUGCAGGAAGAAGGCCUUCGGGUUGUAAACUGCUUUUGUACGGAACGAAACGGUCCUGGUUAAUACCCGGGGCUAAUGACGGUACCGUAAGAAUAAGCACCGGCUAACUACGUGCCAGCCGCCGCAGUAACAC
rnacentral:rRNA from 1 species